rnacentral:rRNA from 1 species
UACGUAGGGUGCAAGCGUUGUCCGGAAUUAUUGGGCGUAAAGAGCUCGUAGGCGGUUUGUCGCGUUUGCUUGUGAAAACCCGAGGCUACAACCUCGGGCCUGCAGUGGGUACGGGCAGACUAGAGUGUUGCAGGGGAGACUGGAAAUUCCUGGUGUAGCGGUGAAAUGCGCAGAUAUCAGGAGGAACACCGGUGGCGAAGGCGGGUCUCUGGGCAACAACUGACGCUGGAGGAGCGAAAGCGUGGGGAGCGAACAGG